UACGAAGGGUCCAAGCGUUAUCCGGAUUUAUUGGGUUUAAAGGGUGCGUAGGCGGCUUAUUAAGUCAGUGGUGAAAGCCCGUAGCUUAACUACGGAACUGCCAUUGAUACUGAUGAGCUUGAAUAUACUUGAGGUUGGCGGAAUGUGUCAUGUAGCGGUGAAAUGCUUAGAUAUGACACAGAACACCGAUUGCGAAGGCAGCUCGCUGGGACGUUACUGACGCUGAGACGCGAAAGCGUGGGGAGCAAACAGG
rnacentral:rRNA from 1 species